GUAUUUUAUUUCGCCAUACGGCAGACAAACAUCCAAUAUUUUAAACAAGAGUUCAUGAGUUUCGAAAGCAGGGCUUAACGCGCUGCCCUCAAAUAUAAGUGCACAGGUGUAAAUUGGACUAGGAGAGCGAGCACAUGCAGUCAAAAAAAAACUACCAGCAUCAACUCCCCACAUAGUUCAUUAAUGAUCCUUCCGCAGGUUCACCUACGGAAA
rnacentral:misc_RNA from 1 species